UUGACAUUCAACUAAGCCAAACGUGGAUUCAAACAUAUCCUCACUAGUCAGGACUGGUGAUAUACAAUUGCAGACAACUCUCAUAAUGCUUUUACUUGGCUUUGUGAGUAGCAUAACUGACUAUGAGGUUUAGCCGAAUCAACGGAAUCAGUUUUCAAUUGCCUAAUUCCUUUCAUCUCUUCUCUCGGAAUACUGGGCAUCAUCCUUUUGGUGUAUUAUGAUGAGAAAGGAGAAGAUAAAUUAUUUACUGAUUAUUUGAGUCCUUUCUUGGCUCACACCUUUCUCAUUAAAGAACUAGAGGUAAUAUCUUGCUCAGAGGAUGGUCUUAUAAUGCCUACUCAUGCUCAUCAUACAAAUAUAGGCAUCCAUUUGUACCACUAAUUGUUUUAUUUUGCACUAAGAUCAACCAACAUCCUAUCAAUUAUUUGUAUCAGUGUAAGUGUACAACAUA